rnacentral:rRNA from 1 species
UAAGUAAGUGGUGGAAAUUAAACCAAAUGGGAUAUCUUUAGUAAUUGCGAAUGAACAAGGAUAUGCUUAGCUUGACAAAUGGAGCUAUUGGCUUUGAAUUGUAUUGUGGAAAUGUAUUACCAACAGAGGUGCAGGUGCCAGCCUAUUGAAAUAAAGCGUCAAUGAGGGUGAGAAUCCUGUUUGUCAUGUGCAGCCCUUUGUGCACGGUGUAUAUUUGCUGAGUCACACUCCUUGGCAUUGGAAUGCAAAGUGGGUGGUAAGUUUCAUGUAAAGGUAAACAUGCAAUUGAGACUGAUAGCACACAAGUACCAUGAGGGAAAUAUGAAAAGGACUUUGAAAAGAGAAUUAAAUGAGUUUGUAUUUGCUGAACACAAAGUAAACAGACUUGAUUCGCUUGGUGGGAGUGUUGCACUUGCUUGACAAGAGCUUUGGGCUGUGGGUGUAAUGAUUCUUUCUUUGCAUGCCAGUUUCUAUUUGUACAUCUGAUUACCUUUGCACAUGAAUGAUAAGUCUCCUGUGGGGGGUGGAUUGCAUGUGCAUGUAAUGAUUUGUGUUUUGAUAAAUGUGUCUGGUGUAUGUGUGUGUUCCUGUGCUUGGGGAUGCUUCCUUCCUUGGACUUACAAGCCCUGACACACACAUGCUGGCAAAAUGCUUCUGCUUGACCCG